CCAAACUUGGUCAUUUAGAGGAAGUAAAAGUCGUAACAAGGUUUCCGUAGGUGAACCUGCGGAAGGAUCAUUAAAGUGAUUUCCAAAAAACACACCAUUGUGCAACUGUUUAUUUUUUGGGUGAUAUUUUUUGAAACAAAAAAAGUCACCAGUGUAACCCAAGUUUAAUAUGAGUAAUAUCCAGUGUAUUUUUUAAAAAAACACAACUUUAGACAAUGGAUCCCUCGGCUCUUACAUCGAUGAAGAACGCAGC
rnacentral:misc_RNA from 1 species